UUGAAAUAAUCUGUGGGUGCUGUGCUGGCCUCUCGGGGCAUGUGCACGCACUUGCUAAUUAUCAUUAUCUUCUUGUGAACCUAGUGUAGUCGUUUUGGCUUUUGAAGUGUAUGGGGGCAACCCUGUAGGCUUUGAAGGCUCGAGCGACUAUGAUUUUAUAUAAACUAUUGUCUGUCCUAGAAUGUUACUUUAUUGACUGCAAAGUCAGUAAACUUUAUA
rnacentral:misc_RNA from 1 species